rnacentral:rRNA from 1 species
CCCUUAGAUGUCCUGGGCCGCACGCGCGCUACACUGAGUGUCUGAGAUACGAGUCUGCCUGGUCCGGCAAGGUCUAGGUAAUCGCUAAAAGACACAUCAUGCUUGGGAUAGAUUAUUGCAAAUAUUAAUCUUGAACGAGGAAUUCCUAGUAAGCGCAAGUCAACAGCUUGCGUUGAUUACGUCCCUGCCCUUUGUACACACCGCCCGUCGCUACUACUGAUUGGAUGUUUAAGCGAGGUUCUCGAACUGCUAGCGACUUAGCUUCGGUGAGGUCGCAGUGUGGGAAGUGAACCUAGCUUUGGUGUCUAGAGGAAGUAAAAGUCUUAACA